rnacentral:rRNA from 1 species
AACGAACGCUGGCGGCAGGCUUAACACAUGCAAGUCGAACGCCCCGCAAGGGGAGUGGCAGACGGGUGAGUAACGCGUGGGAACAUACCCUUUUCUACGGAAUAGCUCUGGGAAACUGGAAUUAAUACCGUAUACGCCCUACGGGGGAAAGAUUUAUCGGGGAAGGAUUGGCCCGCGUUGGAUUAGCUAGUUGGUGGGGUAAAGGCCUACCAAGGCGACGAUCCAUAGCUGGUCUGAGAGGAUGAUCAGCCACAUUGGGACUGAGACACGGCCCAAACUCCUACGGGAGGCAGCGGUGGGGAAUAUUGGACAAUGGGCGCAAGCCUGAUCCAGCCAUGCCGCGUGAGUGAUGAAGGCCUUAGGGUUGUAAAGCUCUUUCACCGAUGAAGAUAAUGACGGUAGUCGGAGAAGAAGCCCCGGCUAACUUCGUG